UGCUCUGAAAAUUCAACUUUAUAGCUCUGACGGUUCUUAAAGUAGCAUUUAGUUAUUUGUCUGCUGUGGAAAAGAUAAAUUGUUGUAAGAAAUGGGGAGCAGACGCCAUUGUGUGUAUAUAUCCCAUGAUUGUAGCAAAUGUCAGUGAUAAUUCAACUUUUAGUGUUUUUUUUUUUUUUUUUUUUUUUAAGNNNNNNNNNUUUUGUACUACGAACGGCUUUUGUAAAAUAUGUUCCAUAUGAAUGCAUUGAUUCUAAAUUAUUU
rnacentral:misc_RNA from 1 species